CACAAUUCCAUAACAACAACACUCACUAAAUCCCAGUGCUUUAUAGCAAAGCUGACUAUAAACUCUCAACUUUAGAAAUAAUAAUGCAGUGACCUAUGAUGAUGUGCAUGUCAACUUCACUUUGGAAGAGUGGACUUGACUGGAUCCUUCCCAGAAGAAUUCUACAAAGAGGUGAUGAUUGAGACCUACAGGAACAUCACUACUAUAGGAUACAGUUGGGAAAAUCAUAAUAUUGAAGAACAUUUUCAAAAUUCUAGAAGACAUGCAAGGCAUGAAAUAAGUCAAACUGGAGAGAAGAAACCUUUCAUAUAUACUGAAUGUGGUAAAACCGUUGUACAUGAGAGUCAUCUUCAAAGGCAUGAAAGUGCACCUAUGGGAAAGAAACAAUUUCAAUGUAAUCAGUGUGUUAAAGCCUUUGCAUAUCACAAUAAUCUUCAAAGGCAUAAAAGAACACAUACUGGAGAGAAACCCUAUGAAUGUAAUCAAUGUGGUAAAGCCUUUGAACGACAUGAUAAUCUUCAAAAUCAUAAAAGAAUACAUACAGGAGAGAAAUCCUAUGAAUGUAAUCAGUGUGGUAAAGCCUUUGCAUAUCACCAAACUCUUCAAAUGCAUAAAAGAAGACAUACUGGAGAUAAACUAUGAAUGUAAUCAAUGUUUUAAGUCCUAUGCUCAUCACAGAACUCUUCAAAUACAUAAAAGAAGACAUCCUGGAGAGAAACCCAAUGAAUGUAAUCAAUGUGGUAAAGUCUAUGCUCAUCACACUACUCUUAAAAUACAUUCAAGAAGACAUGCUGGAGCAAAAGACUAUGACCAUAAUUAACUUGGUAAAGCUUUUCGUCAUCACAGUCAUCUUCAAAUGCAUGAAAAUCACAUACUAGAGAGAAACCCCAUGAAUUUAAUCAAUGUGGCAAGGACUUUCUUCACACACAGUACUCUUCAAAUGCAUGAAACAACACCUACUGGAGAGAAACCCUAUGAAUGUAAUCUGUGUGAUAAAGCCUUUGUAUGUAUCAGUA